rnacentral:rRNA from 1 species
UACGUAGGGGGCAAGCGUUGUCCGGAAUCAUUGGGCGUAAAGAGCUCGUAGGCGGUUCAGUAAGUCGGGUGUGAAAGCUCCGAGCUCAACUCGGAGAGGCCACUCGAUACUGCUGUGACUAGAAUCCAGUAGGGGAGUGUGGAACUCCUGGUGUAGCGGUGAAAUGCGCAGAUAUCAGGAAGAACACCAGCGGCGAAGGCGGCACUCUGGGCUGGUAUUGACGCUGAGGAGCGAAAGUGUGGGUAGCAAACAGGAUUAGAUACCCUGGUAGUCCACACCGUAAACGUUGGGCACUAGGUGUGGGGAGGAUCAACCCUUUCCGUGCCGUAGCUAACGCAUUAAGUGCCCCGCCUGGGGAGUACGGCCGCAAGGCUAAA